CACUGCGAUGAUCAAUGGAUAUUGCAAAGAAGAGAAGAUGAAUCGAGCGGAUAUGCUGCUUAGUAAAAUGCUUGAACAGGGAUUAGUUCCUAAUGUUAAUACUUAUACUACUCUCAUAGAUGGGC
rnacentral:miRNA from 1 species